rnacentral:rRNA from 1 species
AGUGAACGCUGGCGGUAGGCCCAACACAUGCAAGUCGAACGGCAGCACAGUAAGAGCUUGCUCUUACGGGUGGCGAGUGGCGGACGGGUGAGGAAUACAUCGGAAUCUACUUUUUCGUGGGGGAUAACGUAGGGAAACUUACGCUAAUACCGCAUACGACCUACGGGUGAAAGCAGGGGAUCUUCGGACCUUGCGCGAUUGAAUGAGCCGAUGUCGGAUUAGCUAGUUGGCGGGGGAAAGGCCCACCAAGGCGACGAUCCGUAGCUGGUCUGAGAGGAUGAUCCGCCACACUGGAACUGAGACACGGUCCAGACUCCUACGGGAGGCAGCAGUGGGGAAUAUUGGACAAUGGGCGCAAGCCUGAUCCAGCCAUACCGCGUGGGUGAAGAAGGCCUUCGGGUUGUAAAGCCCUUUUGUUGGGAAAGAAAAGCAGCAGGUUAAUACCCCGCUGUUCUGACGGUACCCAAAGAAUAAGCACCGGCUAACUUCGUG